rnacentral:rRNA from 1 species
GACAGAGGGUGCAAACGUUGUUCGGAAUUACUGGGCGUAAAGCGCGUGUAGGCGGCCAUGCAAGUCGGAUGUGAAAGCCCUCGGCUCAACCGGGGAAGUGCACCCGAAACUGCAAGGCUAGAGUCUCGGAGAGGAUCGUGGAAUUCUCGGUGUAGAGGUGAAAUUCGUAGAUAUCGAGAGGAACACCGGUGGCGAAGGCGGCGAUCUGGACGGUGACUGACGCUGAGACGCGAAAUCGUGGGGAGCAAACAGG